rnacentral:rRNA from 1 species
GAUCCUGGCUCAGGACGAACGCUGGCGGCAUGCUUAACACAUGCAAGUCGAACGGAUGUAGCAAUACAUCAGUGGCGGACGGGUGAGUAAUGCAUGAGCAACCUGCCCUAUGCAGGGGGAUAACACAAAGAAAUUUGUGCUAAUACCGCAUAAGCCCACGAGAGGGAAUCCUCAUGUGGGAAAAGAUUUAUCGGCAUAGGAUGGGCUCAUGUCCCAUUAGGUAGUUGGG